UUGGACACUUGAUUUCAAAAGUAAUAUAUAUCCAAAACUGAACUCACGAUUUUCCCUCAUAAACCUCUACAUACAGAUUUUUCUCUUCUUGCAGAGUGCCAUGGUCAGCACUGGAGCCUCUCUUAGCUUUCCUGUCCACUUUCAUCCUCAGCAAGCCUCUAUCUCUGCACCUCAAGAAUCUCUCAGGGCUUCCAUCCCUUGCCCAACCUCGGGCAGUAGCUGCCUCACACUCAGUGAAAGACCAGAGUUCAGACCUGCCUUUUUGUUUUGUUUUGUUUUUUUGGAGACAGAGUCUCACUCUGUUGCCCAGGCUGGAAUGCAGUGGUACAAUCUUGGCUCACUGCAACCUCCACCUCCCGGGUUCAAGUGAUUCUCCUGCCUCAGCCUCCUGAGUAGCUGGGACUACAGGUGCCCACCACCAUGUUCAGCUAAUUUAUGAAUAUAUAUACUUUUUUUUUUAGUAGAGACAAGUUUUCACCAUCUUGGGCAUGCUGCUCUUGAACUCCUGACCUCGUGAUCCACCCGCCUCGGCCUCUCAAAGUGCUGC
rnacentral:lncRNA from 1 species